GAUGAACGCUGGCGGCGUGCCUAACACAUGCAAGUCGAACGAUGAAACCGCCCCCGGGCGGACAUGAAGUGGCGAACGGGUGAGUAACACGUGACCGACCUGCCCCCCGCCCAGGGACAGCCCCCCGAAAGGGGGAUUAAUACCUGGUACUCCGGGAGCGGCGCAUGCCGCCCCCGGGAAAGCUCCGGCGGCGGGGGAUGGGGUCGCGGCCCAUCAGGUAGACGGCGGGGCAGAGGCCCACCGUGCCGACGACGGGUAGCCGGGUUGAGAGACCGACCGGCCACAUUGGGACUGAGAUACGGCCGAGACUCCUACGGGAGGCAGCAGUGGGGAAUUUUGCGCAAUGGGGGCAACCCUGACGCAGCAACGCCGCGUGCGGGACGAAGGCGUCCGCGUCGUAAACCGCUUUCAGCGGGGAACACUUUUCGAGGGUACCCGCAGAAGAAGCCCCGGCUAAAUACGUGCCAGCCGCCGCCGUAAGAC
rnacentral:rRNA from 1 species